GAUGAACGCUGGCGGCGUGCCUAAUACAUGCAAGUCGAGCGAACAGAUGAGGCGCUUUCUCCUCUUACGUUAGCGGCGGACGGGUGAGUAACACGUGGAUAACCUACCUAUAAGACUGGGAUAACUUCGUGAAACCGGUGCUAAUACCGGCUUAUAUAUUCAACCGCAUGGUUCAAUAGUUAAAGACGUUUUUGCUGUCACUUAUAGCUGGUUCCGCUCCGCAUUAGCUAGUUGGUAGGGUAACGUCUUACCAAGGCAACGAUGCGUAGCCGACCUGAGAGGGUGACAGGCAACACUGAAACUGAGACACGGGCCAGACCCCUAGGGGAGGCAGAAGGAGGAAAUCUGCAGAAAGGGGGGAAAGCCUGAGGGGGCAACGCGGCGGGAGGGAGGAAGGGCUUCGGAUGGUAAAACUUUGUUAUGAGGGAAGAACAAAUAAGGAAGUAACCAUGCACGACUGGACGGUACCGAAGCAGAAAGCCAGGGUAAACUACGG
rnacentral:rRNA from 1 species